GGCGAUGCCGUGCUGUCUGGCAUUCAUCCUUACUGUCCUCAUAAGAUGGAGAGUGGAAGACAGAGAGAGACAGAGGGUUUAGACUAAUGAUGGGUAUGCUGGCCAAGUGAUUGCAUCUACUGUCCCUCCUAAAUUCCUGAGGACGAUGCAGCUUGCUCAUGGAAAAGCAAGCAAACAUUUGUUGAACUUAUUAACUCAGACUGAUGAUUACUGAUCUUUAACCAGCUGUCUAAUUCAGAGUAGAGUACUCAAAAACUGUACAAGUAUUGUUACUUCUGAGAAAAUGUACUAUUGUUAAAGUAAAAGUAGCCCCGCUAAAAUGUAUUAAGAGUAAAAAAAGGUAUCCGGUAAAAUAACUGCUCAAGAUACUUCUGUAUUAAAUAGGCACAAUGUAAUUAAGUAAUUUAUUAAUUUAUUAAUUAAUGUUGUGAGAAAUAUGUUCACAGCUUUUUAGCUGUGGGACCUGGCCAUGGGUUGUGCAUUUCAUAGGUGUAUGUUUGUAUGUAUAUAUGCAUGUACUGUAUACAUGCAUAUGUACAGUGAGCACCAUCAUUCACUGGACAGUAAUUUCUAAACGGUUCAUCCGAUAUGGAUGAAAAUACCCUCAAAUUAAAGCUGACAGUCUGCACUUCAACCUCAUUGAGUUUGAAAGGAUACAAUGGCAAAGUGCUAGAGUACAGAACCAAAAUAACAAAAAAUGUGUUACUGUGCAAUGAAUUAUGGUGCUCACAAUGUUCUUUUGUGCAACAUAGAAAUUAAAAAACAAAUGACCCUUAUUCAUUUUUAAUUAUUAAAUCUUAUUUUGUGAUGUCUGCGGUGUCCAUCACAUCCUGGCGAAACGUAAACCUUUCUCGCCCUGCGGUGCUCGGCUGCUGAUAACUGCUUUCUGCUGGCAGUCAUCACACCGACUGUAAAAGCAAGUCCCACGAACGACUGCCCCUCUGCCAGACGAAAGAUGCCACAGAGUAUGAUGAGAAAAUAAAUCUACAGACCAGGAUGGCGUGCACAAAUCUUCCACUCGCUGUGUCGCUUGCUUGUUUUAGAACAACAGAUGUUACAGGAAUGCAAUACACGGAGAAAAGAAGAGCUUUUUAAUCAAUGUAGAGACGAUACAUUCCUUAUUCCUUCCUGAUUUUUCAGCAGUGUAUCUGUUAUUUCAUUUGCUCAGGAGUUACUGUACACUUCAUUACCCGCAACACAGAUAUACAUCUCUCCCAGAUAUGUGAAACUGUGAAAAAUUUGUUUUUGAAAAACAAUUUUUUUCCCCCCAGUGUGUUGGGUAUCGUUGUCAAUGUGUGAUGUUCAAAUAAAAUCUUCCUGUCCCCCUGUG